UUCAGGAUAUGGUACUGCUGCACCAUGAAGUCGAGGUGGAGUACCCCGAUGGGCGACCCACCGAGAAGCACCAAGCGACGCUGAUGGAGUUCGGAAAGACUGAGAACGGCAGGUCGACCACCGCCAUGGCCCUCACCGUCGGGGUACCGGCAGCGAUAGGAGCCCUGGUACUACUGCACUCCAAUCACAACACAUCACACAGAGACAUCCUGCACCUGCACCUGCACCAGAAAGAAACAUGUGUUGAUUUAUCCCCAUCUUCUGUUGCAGCUCUUGCUCCAGAACAAGGUUCAGAAGAAAGGGGUGAUCCGGCCUCUGCAACCGGAGAUCUACAUCCCUGGUGAGUGCAGAAGCAAAUUAACAACUCUGGUGAUGCUUAUGAGUUAUGACUAAUCCUGAGAUUCUGACAUGUGUGUUUGCGGCUGUGAAGCGCUGGAGAUCUUGGAAGCGUCGGGCAUCAAGGUGAUAGAGAGAGUGGAGACCUGAGAGGAUGUCAGGAUGGGAUGAGAAUCCACCGAGUAUAUAUGCUGCUGCAACAGAGGCAGCGAGUAAAUAAAAUAUGAUGAUUCUCGCUGUUGUAAGUCCAAUGAGCGAACUGUAUGUAUGUAUGUGCCUAUCUAUUGUGUAUAUACCGAAUCUGUCGCCGGUUGAUUCGGUUGGUGAACUUCCC
rnacentral:lncRNA from 1 species